GAUCGAGAGAACUCUCGUUAAGGAACUCGGCAAAAUGACCCCGUAACUUCGGGAGAAGGGGUGCUCUGGUAGGGUGUAUAGCCCGAGAGAGCCGCAGUGAAUAGGCCCAGGCGACUGUUUAGCAAAAACACAGGUCUCUGCGAAGCCGCAAGGCGAAGUAUAGGGGCUGACGCCUGCCCGGUGCUGGAAGGUUAAGAGGAGGGGUUAUCCUUUGGGAGAAGCUCUGAAUCGAAGCCCCAGUAAACGGCGGCCGUAACUAUAACGGUCCUAAGGUAGCGAAAUUCCUUGUCGGGUAAGUUCCGACCCGCACGAAAGGCGUAACGAUCUGGGCACUGUCUCAACGAGAGACUCGGUGAAAUUAUAGUACCUGUGAAGAUGCAGGUUACCCGCGACAGGACGGAAAGACCCCGUGGAGCUUUACUGUAGCCUGAUAUUGAAUUUUGGUACAGCUUGUACAGGAUAGGUAGGAGCCUGAGAAGCCGGAGCGCUAGCUUCGGUGGAGGCGUCGGUGGGAUACUACCCUGGCUGUAUUGAAAUUCUAACCCGCGGCCCUGAUCGGGCCGGGAGACAGUGUCAGGUGGGCAGUUUGACUGGGGCGGUCGCCUCCUAAAAUGUAACGGAGGCGCCCAAAGGUUCCCUCAGAAUGGUUGGAAAUCAUUCGUAGAGUGUAAAGGCACAAGGGAGCUUGACUGCGA
rnacentral:rRNA from 2 species